AAGACUCUGCACUAAUUGUAUUUCAGUCUUGCUGGCAUAGUCAAAUCCCGUCCCGAUGACAGCUAGUCUUCACUAUGGUUCUGCUAUCACUGCAUUUGACUGCAUAAAAGAGGGUCAAUUAAUGAACUGCUUCUUUGGGUAGAUGUACAGAGCUGACUGACACGCUUCGUUGGUAGGAGAUGUGACAUGAAGAGCAGUGAUCUGCAAACUUGUUUGCAUAAGUACUCUUGAGGUACAUUGAAUACAGUUGUCUUUUCUCAUUGUGUGUUCAUGUGGGCAAGGUUUUCAAUCUCCAUCAUCUUCAGAUUCCUUCUGGUGGGUUUGGGCUUCAGGGACCCUCUUCAAAUUCCCUUCCCGCACUGUAAUUCUACCAUUCUGCCAAUAAACAAGGUAGCAUGACUUAAA